GAUGAACGCUGGCGGCGUGCCUAAUACAUGCAAGUCGAGCGAACAGACGAGGAGCUUGCUCCUCUGACGUUAGCGGCGGACGGGUGAGUAACACGUGGAUAACCUACCUAUAAGACUGGGAUAACUUCGGGAAACCGGAGCUAAUACCGGAUAAUAUAUUGAACCGCAUGGUUCAAUAGUGAAAGACGGUUUUGCUGUCACUUAUAGAUGGAUCCGCGCCGCAUUAGCUAGUUGGUAAGGUAACGGCUUACCAAGGCAACGAUGCGUAGCCGACCUGAGAGGGUGAUCGGCCACACUGGAACUGAGACACGGUCCAGACUCCUACGGGAGGCAGCAGUAGGGAAUCUUACGCAAUGGGCGAAAGCUUGACGGAGCAACGCCGCGUGAGUGAUGAAGGUCUUCGGAUCGUAAAACUCUGUUAUUAGGGAAGAACAAAUGUGUAGGUAACUAUGCACGUCUUGACGGUACCUAAUCAGAAAGCCACGGCUAACUACGUG
rnacentral:rRNA from 1 species